GUGGAUCCGUAUGGAUAGGUAUGUCCGCAUCGAUGGGUGCGUCCAUAUGGAUAGAUGUAUCCGGAUGGCUUUGCCUUCUCCGCUCAAUUCAGCAUCUCCUUCCCAUCUGCCCUUCUCAUCAUUGAUCUGCCUCCAGCGUUGUCCCAGAGGACAGCCUGGUUUGAAGACAAUGAGAGCUCCAGAUCAUUGGAUCUGACCUCAGAUGCACUUCAGUUUUCCACUCAGACUGUAUCAUUAAAUAUGAGAUCAAGCUUCCCAUAAACCAGCUGUCUUUACAAGAGAUACAAGUGAUACAUAAUAAUCAUAAAUACAACUUUUUCUGUAUGGACACGAAUUGAGCUUCCGCUUCGCCUCGAGCAUUGUCAAAGCUGAAAAUCCUCCCUGCCCGAAUACUUAGACUUUAUUCAACCUCAACAUCAAAACAGUCAUUCAUCUCUUUUUAUGAUCAAACAAUGGUCAAACUUGUUGAAAGACUGAAGAAACAGAACAGGAAUUCAGCAUAAAUCAGCGCUCCCUGGUAGAACUAAGUUCAUACUGUGAACAAAGGGAAUUCCAUUUUGGCAGAGGACAAAGUUCAACCUGUAGCUGGUGUCAGACUGACACAAAAAAAACCCUAGCUAUUCCACACAGAGUUGAUUAAACAUCAGCUUGUACCCCAAAGAUCGCUUCACCAGGCACAAACCCAUGCCAGUCACAUCCGUAUCACCGUCUGUGAAAACUAGGGCUCAUGUUCAUUUAUUAGGCCAGUAUGAGGGCAAUGGCUGCAAAUGGAGCAAGAGGGGUAUAAUCAGGCCCUGAGUCCAGCUGCAAAAGCCAGCCGACAGGCUUUUAACAAUGAGGGAAAUAGUGCCUUAUUCCUCAAAUCAUCUGUUCCCAUGUGUGGG